rfam:Agrilus planipennis Contig39735, whole genome shotgun sequence.
ACAUCGCUAGAGAAAGUAAAUGAAGUAUAACUGGUCGGUCGUGCUCCAGUUUUCGGCUGAAGAGGACCUACAUUGGUUCUAGAACUGCCUGAGGUAGAGGGGUUUUAGUCGGUAGGUCCGAGGACUUCUUCCUCGGGAAUCCGACACUACCCAGUCGUACAGACGGCUGGGUGUCUUUUAAAGAUUUCCCCUCUUCCACGAAA